AUCACUACUCGGCGAUGCUCCAGAUGCUGUCAAGGUGUUCGAGACUUUUACAUCCGCUGUGCUCGUCUCGGACCCAAUCAACGGCACGAUGCUCGACUGCCUUCAAGCAUAUCGAUCAGAGUUGAACACGGAACUACGAAGAGCAACGUACACCUGGAUCCUUCCAAAAAUUGGGCAAACUCUUCCGUUAUACGUCCAGGCCGGAGAUAAUCCUGGAGCAUUUACGUAUACCGCUGGAAAUG
rnacentral:lncRNA from 1 species